UGAAAGACAAGGGUAGUGAGAUG
rnacentral:miRNA from 1 species